ACUGCUCAGUAACACGUGGAUAACCUGCCCUAGGGGAGGGGAUAACCCCGGGAAACUGGGGAUAAUACCCUAUAGGUUACAGAUGCUGGAAUGCCCUGUAACCAAAAGCUCCGGCGCCCUAGGAUGGAUCUGCGGCCGAUUAGGUUGUUGUUGGGGUAACGGCCCAAUAAGCCCGUAAUCGGUACGGGUUGUGGGAGCAAGAGCCCGGAGUUGGAUUCUGAGACACGAAUCCAGGCCCUACGGGGCGCAGCAGGCGCGAAACCUUUACAAUGCGGGCAACCGUGAUAAGGGAACCUCGAGUGCCUGUAAACGCAGGUUGUUCAGGUGUAUAAAACGCACCUGGAGAAAGGGCCGGGCGAGACCGGUGCCAGCCGCCGCGGUAAUACCGGCGGCUCGAGUGGUGGCCGCUUUUAUUGGGCUUAAAGCGUUCGUAGCUGGGUUGUUAAGUCUCUUGGGAAAUCUGGCGGCUUAACCGUCAGGCGUCUAAGGGAUACUGGCAAUCUUGGAACCGGGAGAGGUGAGGGGUACUUCGGGGGUAGGGGUGAAAUCCUGUAAUCCUCGAGGGACCACCUGUGGCGAAGGCGCCUCACCAGAACGGCUUCGACAGUGAGGGACGAAAGCUGGGGGAGCAAACCGGAUUAGAUACCCGGGUAGUCCCAGCCGUAAACGAUGCGCGUUAGGUGUAUCGGUGACCACGAGUUACCGAGGUGCCGAAGGGAAACCGUGAA
rnacentral:rRNA from 1 species